rnacentral:rRNA from 1 species
UUAAGUUAUUAAGGGCGCACGGUGGAUGCCUUGGCACUAGAAGCCGAUGAAGGACGUUACUAACGACGAUAUGCUUUGGGGAGCUGUAAGUAAGCUUUGAUCCAGAGAUUUCCGAAUGGGGAAACCCAGCAUGAGUUAUGUCAUGUUAUCGAUAUGUGAAUACAUAGCAUAUCAGAAGGCACACCCGGAGAACUGAAACAUCUUAGUACCCGGAGGAAGAGAAAGAAAAUUCGAUUCCCUUAGUAGCGGCGAGCGAAACGGGAAGAGCCCAAACCAACAAGCUUGCUUGUUGGGGUUGUAGGACACUCUAUACGGAGUUACAAAGGACGACAUUAGACGAAUCAUCUGGAAAGAUGAAUCAAAGAAGGUAAUAAUCCUGUAGUCGAAAAUGUUGUCUCUCUUGAGUGGAUCCUGAGUACGACGGAGCACGUGAAAUUCCGUCGGAAUCUGGGAGGACCAUCUCCUAAGGCUAAAUACUCUCUAGUGACCGAUAGUGAACCAGUACCGUGAGGGAAAGGUGAAAAGCACCCCGGAAGGGGAGUGAAAUAGAACCUGAAACCGUGUGCUUACAAGUAGUCAGAGCCCGUUAAUGGGUGAUGGCGUGCCUUUUGUAGAAUGAACCGGCGAGUUACGAUUUGAUGCAAGGUUAAGCAGUAAAUGUGGAGCCGUAGCGAAAGCGAGUCUGAAUAGGGCGUUUAGUAUUUGGUCGUAGACCCGAAACCAGGUGAUCUACCCUUGGUCAGGUUGAAGUUCAGGUAACACUGAAUGGAGGACCGAACCGACUUACGUUGAAAAGUGAGCGGAUGAACUGAGGGUAGCGGAGAAAUUCCAAUCGAACCUGGAGAUAGCUGGUUCUCUCCGAAAUAGCUUUAGGGCUAGCCUCAAGUGAUGAUUAUUGGAGGUAGAGCACUGUUUGGACGAGGGGCCCCUCUCGGGUUACCGAAUUCAGACAAACUCCGAAUGCCAAUUAAUUUAACUUGGGAGUCAGAACAUGGGUGAUAAGGUCCGUGUUCGAAAGGGAAACAGCCCAGACCACCAGCUAAGGUCCCAAAAUAUAUGUUAAGUGGAAAAGGAUGUGGCGUUGCCCAGACAACUAGGAUGUUGGCUUAGAAGCAGCCAUCAUUUAAAGAGUGCGUAAUAGCUCACUAGUCGAGUGACACUGCGCCGAAAAUGUACCGGGGCUAAACAUAUUACCGAAGCUGUGGAUUGUCCUUUGGACAAUGGUAGGAGAGCGUUCUAAGGGCGUUGAAGCAUGAUCGUAAGGACAUGUGGAGCGCUUAGAAGUGAGAAUGCCGGUGUGAGUAGCGAAAGACGGGAGAGAAUCCCGUCCACCGAUUGACUAAGGUUUCCAGAGGAAGGCUCGUCCGCUCUGGGUUAGUCGGGUCCUAAGCUGAGGCCGACAGGCGUAGGCGAUGGAUAACAGGUUGAUAUUCCUGUACCACCUAUAAUCGUUUUAAUCGAUGGGGGGACGCAGUAGGAUAGGCGAAGCGUGCGAUUGGAUUGCACGUCUAAGCAGUAAGGCUGAGUAUUAGGCAAAUCCGGUACUCGUUAAGGCUGAGCUGUGAUGGGGAGAAGACAUUGUGUCUUCGAGUCGUUGAUUUCACACUGCCGAGAAAAGCCUCUAGAUAGAAAAUAGGUGCCCGUACCGCAAACCGACACAGGUAGUCAAGAUGAGAAUUCUAAGGUGAGCGAGCGAACUCUCGUUAAGGAACUCGGCAAAAUGACCCCGUAACUUCGGGAGAAGGGGUGCUCUUUAGGGUUAACGCCCAGAAGAGCCGCAGUGAAUAGGCCCAAGCGACUGUUUAUCAAAAACACAGGUCUCUGCUAAACCGUAAGGUGAUGUAUAGGGGCUGACGCCUGCCCGGUGCUGGAAGGUUAAGAGGAGUGGUUAGCUUCUGCGAAGCUACGAAUCGAAGCCCCAGUAAACGGCGGCCGUAACUAUAACGGUCCUAAGGUAGCGAAAUUCCUUGUCGGGUAAGUUCCGACCCGCACGAAAGGCGUAACGAUUUGGGCACUGUCUCAACGAGAGACUUCGGUGAAAUCAUAGUACCUGUGAAGAUGCAGGUUACCCGCGACAGGACGGAAAGACCCCGUGGAGCUUUACUGUAGCCUGAUAUUGAAAUUCGGCACAGCUUGUACAGGAUAGGUAGGAGCCUUUGAAACGUGAGCGCUAGCUUACGUGGAGGCGCUGGUGGGAUACUACCCUAGCUGUGUUGGCUUUCUAACCCGCACCACUUAUCGUGGUGGGAGACAGUGUCAGGCGGGCAGUUUGACUGGGGCGGUCGCCUCCUAAAAGGUAACGGAGGCGCUCAAAGGUUCCCUCAGAAUGGUUGGAAAUCAUUCAUAGAGUGUAAAGGCAUAAGGGAGCUUGACUGCGAGACCUACAAGUCGAGCAGGGUCGAAAGACGGACUUAGUGAUCCGGUGGUUCCGCAUGGAAGGGCCAUCGCUCAACGGAUAAAAGCUACCCCGGGGAUAACAGGCUUAUCUCCCCCAAGAGUUCACAUCGACGGGGAGGUUUGGCACCUCGAUGUCGGCUCAUCGCAUCCUGGGGCUGUAGUCGGUCCCAAGGGUUGGGCUGUUCGCCCAUUAAAGCGGUACGCGAGCUGGGUUCAGAACGUCGUGAGACAGUUCGGUCCCUAUCCGUCGUGGGCGUAGGAAAUUUGAGAGGAGCUGUCCUUAGUACGAGAGGACCGGGAUGGACAUACCUCUGGUGUACCAGUUGUCGUGCCAACGGCAUAGCUGGGUAGCUAUGUGUGGACGGGAUAAGUGCUGAAAGCAUCUAAGCAUGAAGCCCCCCUCAAGAUGAGAUUUCCCAACUUCGGUUAUAAGAUCCCUCAAAGAUGAUGAGGUUAAUAGGUUCGAGGUGGAAGCAUGGUGACAUGUGGAGCUGACGAAUACUAAUCGAUCGAAGACUUAAUCAA